CAAGUUUAACGUCAUCGUCACUACUUAUGAAGUUUUGCUUUCUGAUAACAGUGAGUUGAAGAACAUCCUAUGGAGAGCAGUGAUCAUUGAUGAGGCUCACAGACU